rnacentral:lncRNA from 1 species
ACAGUCAGCUUUUAAAAUAAAUUAUAGGCCAACCAGUCUGACUGAUAAAUACAAAAAGAAGUAAAUGUAGAGGUUUUUGUGUUUCUCAGGUUCCACUGACUGUCCUCAGGUUAUGACAUGAGGCGAUACACUUUGCUGCAAUCAUCUCCCGUUUUGCCAUUUCCACAAGUAAAUAUGCCCUGGAGUGGAACACACACUAGAUCAUUUCUGGGUAUCCGACCUGUCUGGCAUGAUGGUCAUUAAAGCUGAGCCAGCGGUGCCGGUGGGCCUGCUGCUUCCCUGCUUGCGUCCCUGUUGCACUGCACCGAGCUCGCUGGCCUGGAGCCGCUAACAAGCUGUGCAUUCAGACAGUUGAUGCUACAAAUGGAGCUGUGCAGUGGACCAACUCCGGAGAUGAACAACUGAAGCGCUGCUGAAUCCCCUCGGCAAGGGAGGGAGCAAGACCUCCCACCCUCUACUGAAGCUUGGACUGGGGUGGACUCGCAUUUUCUUCCAGCAUAGAAAUCUAUUCAUAAUGUGUUAUUAUGCACUAUAAUACUCACUAAUAAACAACGUAUUCAUAGGGUAUAUUCAAAUGUGUGCAAACAAGCUACUAUUUGUACACAUGAGAAUGGAAAUAAUAAUUGUUACUUGAGUAUUUAUGUAACUAGUAUUUAUGAAUUGUUGUUGUAUUUACAUGUUGCUUAUAGUGAAUAUGGGAAGGAAAGCAUGGUGCUGGAUUGGUUUUAUGACUACUACAGCUGACCUGAAUCUGCCUCUUUUUUACUGCAUUUAAUAAUGAGGAGCUUGUCCAUGUUACCAAACAGAGGAGAAGCAUUACAAUAACACACCUGGUAUUAAUCCCGAUGGUAAU